CACGUGGGGCGCGAGCGUUGUCCGGAAUUAUUGGGCGUAAAGCGCGCGUAGGCGGCUUUGCAAGUCGGGUGUGAAAGCCCUCGGCUCAACCGAGGAAGUGCGCCCGAAACUGCAGAGCUUGAGUACCGGAGAGGAUGGCGGAAUUCCCCAAGUAGAGGUGAAAUUCGUAGAUAUGGGGAGGAACACCGGUGGCGAAGGCGGCCAUCUGGACGGAUACUGACGCUGAGACGCGAAAGCGUGGGGAGCAAACAGG
rnacentral:rRNA from 1 species